AACGAACGCUGGCGGCAUGCCUAACACAUGCAAGUCGAACGAGACCUUCGGGUCUAGUGGCGCACGGGUGCGUAACGCGUGGGAACCUGCCCUUAGGUUCGGAAUAACUCCCCGAAAGGGGUGCUAAUACCGGAUAAUGUCUUCGGACCAAAGAUUUAUCGCCUUUGGAUGGGCCCGCGUUGGAUUAGCUAGUUGGUAGGGUAAAAGCCUACCAAGGCGACGAUCCAUAGCUGGUCUGAGAGGAUGAUCAGCCACACUGGGACUGAGACACGGCCCAGAAUCCUACGGGAGGCAGCAGUGGGGAAUAUUGGACAAUGGGCGAAAGCCUGAUCCAGCAAUGCCGCGUGAGUGAUGAAGGCCUUAGGGUUGUAAAGCUCUUUUACCCGGGAUGAUAAUGACAGUACCGGGAGAAUAAGCUCCGGCUAACUCCGUG
rnacentral:rRNA from 1 species